GGGCCAGGCUGCUGUAGUUACUAACAGAGCACUAAUCACAUUGUACGUGGAAACAAGCUGUGUACAGAGCCAGCCAUGCCUGCAACAACCCUUCAAUAGAUUGAAAUGAGUUGGAUAAAUAUGCUCUGAUGAACAGUCUGUACUCUGAGCUACCCAAAAGCACAGCCAUACAUACAGUCUUCACUUUGCAAAUACUUGUCUUGUGUCCUUCUGAGUACAGAGUGACUGUUCUCUGCAUUUCUUUCCCAUUACUGAUGACUUUUUUAAAAUUACUUCUUCCAUAUCUAAAGUUAGAAAGGAAGUUUAUCUUUCAGAAUCUUGUUUUCCCCUCUCCUGCUUCCUCAGGGCUUCAUGCCAAAGCAUGAAAUUUGUCACAGCAUAAAUAAUUCAAUAUUUGAAUGAACCUUUGAUGAUAAAUGACAUUCCUCCCACCCUGUGUGCCAGAGUGCAUGGCAGUUAGCAUUCCAAACGCAACAAAGAGAAAUCUAUCUUUGCUUGCUUUGAUCAUGUUUGCAAAAGAAUGAUUGCUUUUUAAAAGGGAAAAAUUAAGUUUAAUAAUUCCAAAUCUAGCAAUGCAUUGUUCUCUGUUUUAAAUAAAAAAUAAAUUGAACACAUUAACUGUGACCAAGUCACAAUGUGUGGGUGUAAUACCUACAGACACCAUGGUGUUACUCUAUUUCUGGCAUUGUCAUGGGUGUCCUGGGAAAGUGUGGACAGCAGCUACAAGCGAUGUGGUCAGCAAUAUAUGGAGCUGCUGCAGUUGGCCAGGCCCAUGCUGCUGACCUAACCCUGUGCAUUCCCGUGGCAGUCUGUGCAGAGGUGUUUUCUAUUGCUAUUUCUGCAAGCAAGGAGUUAGGGGACCCUAAUGCAGCUCAACUUGUGAGAGGCAACGUUAAUUUCUGUUCAUUCAGCCAGAGUCUGCCAGGGUCUGUUCACAGCUGGCACUGAAGAUGAGUCCAAACAUUAAGAGCCAGACUCAAGAACAGCUCUGACAGGUGGUGCAGAGGUGAGGAGCAAGUUUAGCCUUUGGUCUGCUACUGAAAAAGAAAGCUACCAUGAUCUCCAUCUUUCCAUGGGGAUCUCCACCUUCCCAUAGUGGAUAUCCCCAGUCCUUCCUCACAAAAAGACCAGGAAACUCUCGAGUUUAACUUUGUUUUCCUGUUUAUGAAAAUAUGGGUUGUAUUGGAUUUACAAGAGACCGAAGGCCAUUCUUUUAGGCACUGUGGAAAGCAGGCUUUGCUGAGAGAUGCCGCUGUGAAACUUGGCAGAAAAGUCAGGAGAUGAGAGCAAACCCCCUGGAAUCCUCUUGGACAUAUACUUUUUCUCACCAUUACUAUUAAUAUUCCCAAGUGUCUUACUGAUGGCAUGGAGAGUUUUGCAGAUCUACCCCAUUUGUAAUGCUGAUUAAGCUCAAGUGUUUUCCUAGGAAGCUUCUCUUACUCAUUCUGGAAAAAAAUUCAAAUCAAAGGCAACUUCAGGGAAGUGACUUAGUAUGUCUCAAAUCACUUAAAUCCCUCCCAGCAUCCAGACUGUGUUCAAAAGCUGACAUUGCUCCUUUGUUUUUGGUCUUUAAAUUAACUCAUUUCUUCCUUUUCAUUUUUAGUUUGUUUGUUUGUUUGUUUUUCUUUUUUUUAACUGCCACCCGCAUUAGAUUUAUAGUCACAGUUUUUCGGGAUCAG
ensembl:lncRNA